rnacentral:rRNA from 1 species
GACGAACGCUGGCGGCGUGCUUAACACAUGCAAGUCGAACGGAAAGGCCCUGCUUUUGUGGGGUGCUCGAGUGGCGAACGGGUGAGUAACAAGUGAGUAACCUGCCCUUGACUUUGGGAUAACUUCAGGAAACUGGGGCUAAUACCGGAUAGGAGCCCCUGCUGCAUGGUGGGGGUUGGAAAGUUUCGGCGGUUGGGGAUGGACUCGCGGCUUAUUUGCUUGUUGGUGGGGUAGUGGCUUACCAAGGCUUUGACGGGUAGCCGGCCUGUGAGGGUGACCGGCCACAUUGGUACUGAGAUACGGACCAGACUGCUACGGGAGGCAGCAGUGGGGAAUAUUGCACAAUGGGCGGAAGCCUGAUGCAGCAACGCCGCGUUCGGGAUGACGGCCUUCUGGUUGUAAACCGCUUUCGCCUGUGACGAAGCGUGAGUGACGGUAAUGGGUAAAGAAGCACCGGCUAACUACGUG